GAUGAACGCUGGCGGCGUGCCUAAUACAUGCCAGUCGAGCGAACGGACGAGAAUCUUGCUUCUCUGAUGUUAGCGGCGGACGGGUGAGUAACACGUGGAUAACCUACCUAUAAGACUGGGAUAACUUCGGGAAACCGGAGCUAAUACCGGAUGAUAUUUUGAACCGCAUGGUUCAAAAGUGAAAGACGGUCUUGCUGUCACUUAUAGAUGGAUCCGCGCUGCAUUAGCUAGUUGGUAAGGUAACGGCUUACCAAGGCAACGAUGCAUAGCCGACCUGAGAGGGUGAUCGGCCACACUGGAACUGAGACACGGUCCAGACUCCUACGGGAGGCGGCAGUAGGGAAUCUUCCGCAAUGGGCGAAAGCCUGACGGAGCAACGCCGCGUAAGUGAUGAAGGUCUUCGGAUCGUAAAACUCUGUUAUUAGGGAAGAACAUAUGUGUAAGUAACUGUGCACAUCUUGACGGUACCUAAUCAGAAAGCCACGGCUAACUACGUG
rnacentral:rRNA from 1 species